rnacentral:lncRNA from 1 species
CGACAAGGCAAGAGGGCAUCAGGCACCUAAAUGCAGAUAAGGGCAAUUAAAAGUAUGAUUAGACAGAAAGCGAGAGCCUUUGAGAUGUGGGCCAAACCUUAGGGGUAACCACAUGGAGUCUGGCUGCAAAUAGUGAAGUUAAGACAGACAUUCCUGCUAAUGCUGGAAUGUAAAUUAAACUCCUGUGUGGUUUGUGAAUCAUGGGUUAGUGACUUUCCUGGGAUCUCAUUGGAAGAGCAAAUGUAGAUCCUCUAAUGCCUUGCAGGUGUAUGAAGGGCAGCUUCCUGGAAACUCAGUGGAGAAGAGGCCCCUGGUCUUCUUGAAGAGGAGUCCAAGGUUUCAGCCAAGUGUGAUGGAUCCAUAAAUCAAUUCCCACCAUGUUAACUGUCGUUGGGGCGGACAGAAUGACUGAAAGUGGUCCUUCCCAAGAUGGACCUAGAGAGGAAGAGUUGGAGGGGAGAGACUUGACAAGUACUAAAUCUCCAGGGAAGAAUAACUAUUUCGCCUUUUCCCUAGUGUGUCCUUCAGGUGGCCUGGAUUCUCCACUCUGAAGAGGGUAUUGUGGCCAGGCCAUGCUGCAGAAGAAAAUAAGCCACUUCUUCAAAGAUUGUGGAUCAAAUUGGUCCCAAUUAUCCAGCAUACACUUUAAGAGUGACUCUGUUUAGGGAAGAGUAGCAUUCAUCUAAAAUUGAACACAGAAAUACCCACAUCCCUGGUUAUUUCCGGUAAUUACCAACCCUGGGGCAUCCCCCAGUGGCAUAGCACUCUAAUUUUUCUGCGCCCUAAAUGCAUGAUUAUCUCGUGGGCCUUCCCAAUUUGCCAAGUUUAAUCACACUAUGGAGUAAUGGGCGUAUCCUCACUGUCUAAUAUCCAUUUUUGGCUACCUUAAAGGACAUGGGGACUGCUGGGUUUAGUGGCCUUGUACCAGAGUGUACUUGAAGAACUAGGCCAGUGAGACUUGGGCAACAGACACUAUUUAUGUUCCCUAGCAAGGGUCCAAUUAACAUAGGCUUGACCAUAAAACUACCCCAGGAGGAAAAAUUCUUUGAGAAGGGUCUCUAAAGGUAACAGUCUUAAAGAAGGUAAUGGCUGGCCACAGGGCCAAGGCCGGGACAAUGCCUUCCUGACCAGAGCCUUUUCUCUCUACAUUCCAUCAUAGGAGUAUGACCUAUCGCUUUGGGCCCUGUAAUUAACUGUUUGAGUCUUGGA